GACGAACCGAGCGAACGUUGUUCGGAAUCACUGGGCUUAAAGGGCGCGUAGGCGGGUGCUCAAGUCUGUGGUGAAAUCCUCCGGCUCAACCGGAGAACUGCCAUGGAUACUGGGUGUCUUGAGGGUGGUAGGGGUAUGCGGAACUAUCGGUGGAGCGGUGAAAUGCGUUGAUAUCGAUAGGAACUCCGGUGGCGAAGGCGGCAUACUGGACCACAUCUGACGCUGAGGCGCGAAAGCCAGGGGAGCGAACGGG
rnacentral:rRNA from 1 species